rnacentral:misc_RNA from 1 species
GCUUUGCAUGCCAUUUCAGACCCUAGAACAAAGAUCAUACAAAUUUUAACAUACUUGAAAAAGGGAUCCAACAAUAAAGGGCAAAUGACACAUAUGGCCAAUCUUGGUUGCUCAAGCUUAAAUAUUCCUUUCAGAAAAGGCAAGAACUCCAUAGCCAACUAGAAUGUAAUUCUUCGAAUGGUAUAUAAAGUUAAGAAGUGUAAUACACACAAAUAUUGCAUCCCAGAAGAAUUCCUGUUGUCCAAAAGUUGUUUACCCAAAUACGAUUUUCUAAAAUUCUAGUGAUACAGCAAUUCUCCAAAAACGCAAGGCAUGUAUGCAUGCACUAUGCAGUGAUGCACGCAUAAAUUUUAGUUAGAGGGGCACAAUUAAAAGUAAUAUAUCACCUCUAAGAAAAACGUUUAUACGUAGAUAAGAUCAUUUUUGAAAAAUACAAAAAAUUACUCAAUCACAUUACAGUGAUCCUGAUUUAUUCUUCAUCUUAUAAAAUAGUUACACAAUAAAUUCAUUGCCAAUACUUGUAAAUACUCCCAUUCAAUGUAAAUAUAACGGCAAAAUAAACAACACAGUUGAAUCGAGAGUUGAGACCAUAAUAUUGAUAAAUUUAUUACUAGCUCAAACUUUCAAGUAUCAAAUAUCAAUUACUAUUUUUAAUUAUCCAAUUUUUGAUAUUAGAUAAAAAAAAAUAGAAAUUAGAUUAACUUUCAUUAAAAUUAUAUACUCAGAAUCUCUAAAUUUUGUAUAAAUUCUUUAGCUUAAAUUAUUAUAAAAAAAACCCAUCAAAUUUAUUAACAUAUAAGACUUGUUAAAUAAGAGAGAGAGAGAGAAAGAGAGC